UGGGGAAUUGUUCGCAAUGGGCGCAAGCCUGACGACGCAACGCCGCGUGGAGGAUGAAGACCUUCGGGUCGUAAACUCCUUUCGAUCGAGACGAAUGGCCCUUGGGUUAACAGCCCAGGGGUAUGACGGUACCGAGAGAAGAAGCCCCGGCUAACUCCGUGCCAGCAGCCGCGGUAAUACGGGGGGGGCAAGCGUUGUUCGGAAUUACUGGGCGUAAAGGGCUCGUAGGUGGCCAACUAAGUCAGACGUGAAAUCCCUCGGCUUAACCGGGGAACUGCGUCUGAUACUGGAUGGCUUGAGUUCGGGAGAGGGAUGCGGAAUUCCAGGUGUAGCGGUGAAAUGCGUAGAUAUCUGGAGGAACACCGGUGGCGAAGGCGGCAUCCUGGACCGACACUGACACUGAGGAGCGAAAGCCAGGGGAGCAAACGGG
rnacentral:rRNA from 1 species